AGAGGUCAUGUGAAAUUUGGUCUCAGAAACUCUGACCUGUUCCUCUGUCUUGCAUUGCCUGGCCAUUAAAGCAGGAAGUACUGCCUUAAUAAUCCAGUGGGAAAAUAACCGUGGGGACAGACAAAACAGGAGGAAAGACUGCAGUAGAAAGUACUGGGGUAUAUUGAACCAAGUGGGAGUUGUGCACAUGCACCGAGUUUCACACAUAUGGGUCAUUUAUAAUCACCAAUACAGCAAAAACAUGAGGAAGAGAAAUUAAAAGCUUUCUUCAGAUCCCAACAGAGGAAAUGUUGAAGAAAUAGACACACUUCCUGUAAGGCUGGUAAAGAAACCAUGAUAAUACAAGGAACGGGGAACAAGUGAUAAAACAAGAAUGAUCAGAUCAAUGAAUCUCUUAAAUUUAAAGGUGCAAAACUGAAGAAAAUUAUUAGCUGGACCAUUACUGAAAAUUAAGGCUCUACGUGUAGCAAAAUCAAGGAAACUCAGUAUUUGAAAGCUAAUUACAACUCCUGAGAGCUCUAAAUAUUAUUGUAUGCUAAAAAUAGCUGUGUGAUGAUGCAGUCAAUGCCUAUCCAAGUUUUAGGGUUUGAAAAACAAACUGCUUGUGAUCUCUUCUGGCCACUAGCCUGGCAAACAUAUGGAAUACAAAUGGAGCAAGAUUUUUUUUUUCUGUGGUUUAUAUACAAACUCAUUUGCAGAAGCAGCAGGCAAAGCCAAGAGAAGAAAACUGGCCAAAAUGAGAGCAUGUUCAGUUCUGCAGCAUGGCUUGUUUAAAAGAAAAGCUGCUACCAAUCAAGAGGCUGAGCUAGAAAGGCUUAACUUUUUCAGACUCGUAAGAUACCACCACGCAAAUUCGACCUGCUGUAUUUGCAUUCAGUCCCAGAGAAGUCCCUCUGUCUACAGGAAUGUCACAGCCAAUCUGUUGUGGUCCUGACUUGACCUGGCAUCUCUCUAAUAUCAAUGGGCACAAUUCAUAAUUUCCUCCAGAGCUGCAAUGCUGAACCAUGAUCUGGACAGGACAUCUUGAUACGCAGAAGGGAGAUCUCUAAUCCUGUGACACAUCCUUAGUGAUUAACUCAAGGGAAAAACAACCAAACAACCAAUUGGUGCUAGAGAAGGGAGAGCUGAAGAAUAUGAAAAAAUUGCUGCAUCUUUGCCCAUUAUGCAAUUCUGUGAAGAUUUCAGGUGUGUCCUGGUUUUAGUCUGGGACCAACUGUAAGUGAAAUGCAUUCCUAUGGAAAACAGAAAGAAAAUUGUAGAACAAUUCAGACAUAAAUUUACACUCAUAUCCCAGGCUGCAUCUUUAUGGGUUAUAUUCUGGAAGGCCAAAUAUCAGAUUGUCCUGUCCUGGUUGAUAACAGGCAAACUCACCACUUGAAAGUUCAGAGAAGGCAUUAGCUUGUAUAUUUGACUCUAGUUCAUUCGAUCCACAUAAAUCUGAAUUGAAACCAGCCAACCAAAAAACCCCCACAUGAUUUCUCUGCUGCAAUCAUGGAUUAAAAUGGUUUGUGAGGAUGAAAAAUUCAGCUGGAUACUUAGUAUUUUUAUGGUAAUGGUUUGACUGGGGUCUUGUCUUGUCCAAACUGGUAUGAGGUCUCAAGUGAGAGGAAAUGCAGAUCACAGUGGUGUACCUCACCCACAGCCAGAGGUUUACUGGUCAGCAG